GCUUACGGCCAUACCACCCUGAGCACGCCCGAUCUCGUCCGAUCUCGGAAGCUAAGCAGCGUCAGGCCUGGUUAGUACUUGAAUGGGAGACCACCUGGGAAUACCAGGUGCUGUAAUCU
rnacentral:rRNA from 1 species